rnacentral:misc_RNA from 1 species
UUUCCGUAGGUGAACCUGCGGAAGGAUCAUUCAUAAUAAAGUGUUUUAUGGCACUUUUUAAAAAUCCAUAUCCACCUUGUGUGCAAUGUUAGAUCUCGUCAAUCUUGGCGAGAUUUUUAUACAUCAACUCAUUUUUUAACUAAUUUGUCUGAAAAAUAUUAUGAAUAAAACAAUUCAAAAUACAACUUUCAACAACGGAUCUCUUGGCUCUC